GACUCUGUAGCUCAGUUGAUCAUAGGGAGCGCUGCACUGGAAACGCAGGGCCGCAGGUUCGAUGCCUGCCACAGGGUCU